UACGGGAGUGGCAAGCGUUAUCCGGAAUUAUUGGGCGUAAAGCGUCCGCAGGCGGUCUUUUAAGUCUGCUGUUAAAGCGUGGAGCUUAACUCCAUUUCGGCAGUGGAAACUGGAAGACUAGAGUGUGGUAGGGGCAGAGGGAAUUCCCGGUGUAGCGGUGAAAUGCGUAGAUAUCGGGAAGAACACCAGUGGCGAAGGCGCUCUGCUGGGCCAUAACUGACGCUCAUGGACGAAAGCCAGGGGAGCGAAAGGGAUUAGAUACCCCUGUAGUCCUGGCCGUAAACGAUGAACACUAGGUGUCGGGGGAAUCGACCCCCUCGGUGUCGUAGCCAACGCGUUAAGUGUUCCGCCUGGGGAGUACGCACGCAAGUGUGAAACUCAAAGGAAUUGACGGGGGCCCGCACAAGCGGUGGAGUAUGUGGUUUAAUUCGAUGCAACGCGAAGAACCUUACCAGGGUUUGACAUCCUGCGAAUCUCUUGGAAACGAGAGAGUGCCUUCGGGAACGCAGUGACAGGUGGUGCAUGGCUGUCGUCAGCUCGUGUCGUGAGAUGUUGGGUUAAGUCCCGCAACGAGCGCAACCCACGUCGUUAGUUGCCAGCAUUCAGUUGGGCACUCUAGCGAGACCGCCGGUGAUAAACCGGAGGAAGGUGUGGAUGACGUCAAGUCAUCAUGCCCCUUACAUCCUGGGCUACACACGUACUACAAUGCUACGGACAAAGGGCAGCAAACUCGCGAGAGCUAGCAAAUCCCAUAAACCGUGGCUCAGUUCAGAUCGUAGGCUGCAACUCGCCUACGUGAAGGAGGAAUCGCUAGUAAUCGCAGGUCAGCAUACUGCGGUGAAUACGUUCCCGGGCCU
rnacentral:rRNA from 1 species